GAAUUAAAUUACCAAGCCAUGAUUAAAACAAAAAUGCGAAUGAAAAAAACAACGUUUUGUUAUAAAAAUAAAAACAAUUUAACAUAAACUGUCAAAAUUUCAUCGUGUAAAGUCCUGUAAUUUUUCUCCACUUCAAAAAAAUUAAAUUCAUUUAAAUUUCAAGUUCCUUUAAAUCCGCUUUGGCAAAAUGUAUCCACCGUGUAGACCAUGCCCUACUCUGCCCACCAUAGGCGGCAUGUAUUGUAAUCGCCCUAUUGCACCUAGGGCUGUUCAGCUCGGUUAUUGUGAUAGUCUGUUGGUUUAUCCUGCUGCGUACGAUUGCAAUGGAGUGGUCACAAAUCCCAACUUGCCCAUGUUGCUCUCGAAACGCAGUAUUUGUUGUUGUCCAAAGCAAGUCAUUCUUGUAGAGCCAUGAUAAAUUCGUAAUCGAGGCACGUCACGAUUGAAGCUACUGAACAAAUUCAAGCAUAAGAAGAAUCCAAGGAAGGUCAAAAAUUCAUAUUACACUAAUUACGGAAAAAAUGUGCAAAGUUGAAGAAAUGUAUUGUGAAACGAGUUGCGUAUGGUUUUGUCAAGUGUUGUUUUAUUUGUAUCUGUAAAGUGUAAUGUCCAAAUAAACAUAAACCAAAACCCA